UACGAAGGGGGGCUAGCGUUGCUCGGAAUCACUGGGCGUAAAGCGCACGUAGGCGGCUUUUUAAGUCAGGGGUGAAAUCCUGGAGCUCAACUCCAGAACUGCCUUUGAUACUGGGAAGCUUGAGUCCGGGAGAGGUGAGUGGAAUUCCCGGUGUAGCGGUGAAAUGCGCAGAUAUCGGGAAGAACACCCGUGGCUAAGGCGGCUCUCUAGUACGGUACUGACGCUGAGACGCGAAAGCGUGGGGAGCGAACAGG
rnacentral:rRNA from 1 species